GACGAACGCUGGCGGCGUGCUUAACACAUGCAAGUCGAGCGGUAAGGCCCUUUCGGGGGUACACGAGCGGCGAACGGGUGAGUAACACGUGGGUGACCUGCCCUCAGCUCUGGGAUAAGCCUGGGAAACCGGGUCUAAUACUGGAUAUGACUCCAUGACGCAUGUUGUGGGGUGGAAAGCCUUGUGCGGCUGAGGAUGGGCCCGCGGCCUAUCAGCUUGUUGGUGGGGUGANGGCCUACCAAGGCGACGACGGGUAGCCGGCCUGAGAGGGCGACCGGCCACACGUGG
rnacentral:rRNA from 1 species